rnacentral:lncRNA from 1 species
AUGCUCGCACUGUGACUUAGAUUCUUAUCUUUUAUUCUUUUCUUGGACACUAUCUCUAAGAUUAGUUUAGCUGUUAGCUCUAUAAGCAGAGGACGAGGAUUCAGUAACUGCUCCUUAAAGGUGUUCGUAGCAUACGCACUCUGUAGCAAUUAUCAACAUUUGCUUUGAUGUUGAAACUCCUGCUUGUGGGUGUUUCUGCGUGCCCUGACUACCAUUUUAGACUGGCAGUCUGAAGCACCUUCUACUUUAGUGUGAGCCAAGAUGUACCUCAUGUUUAAUCUGCUGUGGCCGGGGGGUAGCACGGAUCUUCUCUGUCACUGACUGACACAUCUUCCAUGGCUUUCCUAGAUGAAAGUCAUUCUUUCAGCAGUGUGCUGUAUUAUGGGAACGAGGCCACUCUCCUUAUCUUUGAUCUGUUGUUCUUCUGUGUCGUGGACUUGGCUUGCCAGAACUUUGUUUUAGCAUCCUUCCUCACCUACCUGCAGCAAGAGAUUUUUCGAUUUAUCCGAAAUACAGUAGGACAAAAGAAUUUAGCAACCAAAACACUAGUGGAUGAAAGAUUUCUGAUCUAAUCUGUGAUGCAAAACCUGAGGACUCAGUAUAAUGGGGCCAAGCCGUGAUGUCAGGCUAUCUUUUGUAAAACUCGUAAUACAUAUUAUUCUUCCUUUUUUUAUCUACAGAAAGAUUUAUUUUUAUAGCUUGUAAAAUAUAAGAUAUAGUAGAAAUACUA